GACGUCACCUCUGUGCUGGAAUCCCCUCUGGWGAGAUCAGSAGCCGAACCUGUCCACGUUCGGUCCACAGAUUANAUGGUGGCGGUCAGCGGUCGAUGCCUGCGGGUACGCCCUGAUCCAGGUAUAAUCGGUCUCCAUGGCCUCUCAUGGAUGAGCAACGUUCCGUAGGUGAACCUGCGGAAGGAUCAUUA
rnacentral:rRNA from 1 species